AUGAACGCUAGCUACAGGCUUAACACAUGCAAGUCGAGGGGCAUCAGGAAGAAAGCUUGCUUUCUUUGCUGGCGACCGGCGCACGGGUGAGUAACACGUAUCCAACCUGCCCUUUACUCGGGGAUAGCCUUUCGAAAGAAAGAUUAAUACCCGAUGGCAUAAUGAUUCCGCAUGGUUUCAUUAUUAAAGGAUUCCGGUAAAGGAUGGGGAUGCGUUCCAUUAGGUUGUUGGUGAGGUAACGGCUCACCAAGCCUUCGAUGGAUAGGGGUUCUGAGAGGAAGGUCCCCCACAUUGGAACUGAGACACGGUCCAAACUCCUACGGGAGGCAGCAGUGAGGAAUAUUGGUCAAUGGGCGCUAGCCUGAACCAGCCAAGUAGCGUGAAGGAUGAAGGCUCUAUGGGUCGUGAACUUCUUUUAUAUAAGAAUAAAGUGCAGUAUGUAUACUGUUUUGUAUGUAUUAUAUGAAUAAGGAUCGGCUAACUCCGUGCCAGCAGCCGCGGUAAUACGGAGGAUCCGAGCGUUAUCCGGAUUUAUUGGGUUUAAAGGGAGCGUAGGUGGACUGGUAAGUCAGUUGUGAAAGUUUGCGGCUCAACCGUAAAAUUGCAGUUGAUACUGUCAGUCUUGAGUACAGUAGAGGUGGGCGGAAUUCGUGGUGUAGCGGUGAAAUGCUUAGAUAUCACGAAGAACUCCGAUUGCGAAGGCAGCUCACUGGACUGCAACUGACACUGAUGCUCGAAAGUGUGGGUAUCAAACAGGAUUAGAUACCCUGGUAGUCCACACAGUAAACGAUGAAUACUCGCUGUUUGCGAUAUACAGUAAGCGGCCAAGCGAAAGCAUUAAGUAUUCCACCUGGGGAGUACGCCGGCAACGGUGAAACUCAAAGGAAUUGACGGGGGCCCGCACAAGCGGAGGAACAUGUGGUUUAAUUCGAUGAUACGCGAGGAACCUUACCCGGGCUUAAAUUGCAGUGGAAUGAUGUGGAAACAUGUCAGUGAGCAAUCACCGCUGUGAAGGUGCUGCAUGGUUGUCGUCAGCUCGUGCCGUGAGGUGUCGGCUUAAGUGCCAUAACGAGCGCAACCCUUAUCUUUAGUUACUAACAGGUCAUGCUGAGGACUCUAGAGAGACUGCCGUCGUAAGAUGUGAGGAAGGUGGGGAUGACGUCAAAUCAGCACGGCCCUUACGUCCGGGGCUACACACGUGUUACAAUGGGGGGUACAGAAGGCAGCUAGCGGGUGACCGUAUGCUAAUCCCAAAAUCCUCUCUCAGUUCGGAUCGAAGUCUGCAACCCGACUUCGUGAAGCUGGAUUCGCUAGUAAUCGCGCAUCAGCCACGGCGCGGUGAAUACGUUCCCGGGCCUUGUACACACCGCCCGUCAAGCCAUGGGAGCCGGGGGUACCUGAAGUACGUAACCGCAAGGAUCGUCCUAGGGUAAAACUGGUGACUGGGGCU
rnacentral:rRNA from 1 species